CCUUGACAUCCAGAGACUUAGCAGGAGAUUGGCUUUGGUGCCUUCGGGAACUCUGAGACAGGUGCUGCAUGGCUGUCGUCAGCUCGUGUUGUGAAAUGUUGGUUAAGUCCGCAACGAGCGCAACCCUUAUCCUUUGUUGCCAGCGGUUCGGCCGGGAACUCAAAGGAGACUGCCGGUGAUAAACCGGAGGAAGGUGGGGAUGACGUCAAGUCAUCAUGGCCCUUACGGCCAGGGCUACACACGUGCUACAAUGGCGCAUACAAAGAGAAGCGACCUCGCGAGAGCAAGCGGACCUCAUAAAGUGCGUCGUAGUCCGGAUUGGAGUCGGCAACUCGACUCCAUGAAGUCGGAAUCGCUAGUAAUCGUAGAUCAGAAUGCUACGGUGAAUACGUUCCCGGGCCUUGUACACACCGCCCGUCACACCAUGGGAGUGGGUUGCAAAAGAAGUAGGUAGCUUAACCUUCGGGAGGGCGCUUACCACUUUGUGAUUCAUGACUGGGGUGAAGUCGUAACAAGGUAAGCGUAGCGAG
rnacentral:rRNA from 1 species